rnacentral:lncRNA from 1 species
CUUUUCCCUUGGAAACAAUAAAAGCGCGGUGGCGACUCUGGUUUAAUUGACGUCUAGCUUACCCAUAUCUUGAUGGUCAUGAAUUUACCGCUACACCCACACUCUAUAUCUUAUCAAACAUCAUUUAUACCUAAAAAUAUAUGCACACAAAAAAGGCUCCCUAGGAGUACCUAGGACACUUUGGGUGCUAACACCUUCCCUU